AGUCGAGAAUAGUCUACAAUGGACGAAAGUCUGAUAGUGCGACGCCGCGUGGACGAAGAAGCAUUUCGGUGUGUAAAGUCCUUUUCUGCGUGAGCAGGUUUGUAUAGAUUAAUAGUUUAUACGGAUAGAUAUUAGCGCAGGAAUAAGCCACGGCUAACUCCGUGCCAGCAGCCGCGGUAACACGGGGGUGGCGAGCGUUGUCCGGAAUUACUAGGCGUAAAGGGCAAGUAGGCGGAAUAGUAAGUCAGAUGUUAAAGGCAUGGGCUCAACCGAUGUACGGCAUUUGAUACUGUUAUUCUAGAGUAAGGUGGGGGAAGACGGAAUUCCUGGUGUAGCGGUGGAAUGCGCAGAUAUCAGGAGGAACACCAGAGGCGAAGGCGGUCUUCUAUACCAUUACUGACGCUGAAUUGCGAAGGUGUGGGUAUCAAACAGGAUUAGAUACCCUGGUAGUCCACACAGUAAACGAUGUGCACUAGAUGUUGGGAGUUAUACACUUUCAGUGUCGCAGCAAACGCGUUAAGUGCAUCGCCUGGGGAGUACGAUCGCAAGGUUA
rnacentral:rRNA from 1 species